UCUCUCUCUAUGACGGAGAGAGGAGAGAGACUCCGAUCACCAGCCAGUCAUUGGUCUGAAGACCAUGACUAGAUCUUCGGUCUGGUCACAUCAUUUUUUCAUGACCAGCGGUCACAGUCUGCUCUGGUCAACGGUCAACCGGUCAUUUUUCCCUAACUCUACUAAUCUAGCUAUCAACCACGUAGAUCUCUUCCAGGGUAGCAGAGGCGUCGGCGGGUUGUGCCCAUAAUUUUAAGCCAAGCUUGAUCUCCUCACCCCAACUGAGGAAGAAACGCCUUGUGGAGCUCAAUCUGCAAGCAAAACCAGUCCAAUAAAGGAUAGAUUCGGCAGAUAAUUCAUAAAGAAAAAUUGCAUUUUAUUCCAGUCUCACACAUGAACAUGAAGACCAUUUUGAGAUGAAUCCGGACCCUUUUUUGGGUAAUAUUCAUGAUUUUUUUUUCUUUCCCGGUACCUGAUGGGCCCACAUGGAUAUGAAGGGAAUGAUGAUAGAUAUAUAUACAUAUAAAACCGGAAUAUACAUAUGUACGUUAGUUACAAUAAAAAAAUUAUCUAGAAUUUGGGGAAAAUGUUUUUUUAAAAAUUUUCAGACUCAGAAGCGUAAAUAAUGAGAAAAAUGAAAAAUAUUAUAAAAACCUAAAUGAUAGAAAAAAUCUAAGGUAGUGAAAAUAUUAAUAAAAAAUAUCAAAAAAAAGAAUUUGAUGAUAUCAAGAGAAAAUUAUCUUUACCUUUUUCUGACAGCAAAAUUGCCCAGAUGCAUUCUGACCCUCACCUUCUUCUCAUCACAUCCUGGAUUUCUGCCUCAGAGAAAUAUCAUAAGCAAUGUAAGUCAACUGGUUAGGAAGAACGAAUUUAGAGUCAUUUUCGUAGUGAAUAAUCUAUGAUCAAGCGUAUACUUUGGUCCAUCAAGGACCCGGCGAUUAGUCUGGUGGAAAUCGCAGCCUAACUUAGGCAUUUCACCAGGUUCAAAAAAGUCAACUCUCCAAGGAAAUUUUAAGAAAUAAAAAACAAAUAGUUGAUAGACAACUCCAUCCGGCAAGUUUGGAGCACAAAAAUAUCUUAAAAAGCUUGAACAAAAGAAGAAAUUUACUUGGCAAUGCCAACUUGAGAACGAACAGCACACGGAAUGAUCCGAUGUCAUUUCAUGCUAUAGUCGAUCUAAUUAAAAAGUUUAAUUCUCACAAUGGCAACAAUAGUCCUAAUUAGAUUAAUACAAAGGCAAGCCUAAAGCCUAAAAAAAGUCAACUUGCAUGCGAUUACGAAUCUGGGCGUUGAAUCUUUAGAUCACAAAAAAUAUAGAUGAUUCUCAUGUUCAGAGAGGAUGAGAUGAACACACCUGCGGCUGCCCCAGAAGGUGGGGAAGAAGAUUACUUUUGUGCUGCGCUCUCGAUCCGAUUUCAGAUCUAUCAAGAAGAGCCCCGUGAUCGGCCUGCAACUGGCAAUUUCUUCCAUGGCA
rnacentral:lncRNA from 1 species